GGGGAGGGGGAAAUCAGCUUAACCCCACGGAGUCAGCUGGUACCUGAGCAAAAUGGACUGUGUGCCCCCCGGCCCACCCAGGGUCUCAUCCAGGGCAAGGCGGGCACUGCCAGCCUCUGCAGUAGCUACGGGCACUGUCGUCCGAUGGGCAUCCACCUUGUUCACAAGCAUCUCAAGUUCAAGAGAUAACAUCCUCCUGAUCUCUGAAUUCCCAACAUCUAGUUCAAAGCCUGAGAGUUGGCCCUGAGUAAAUGUCAGAUCCAAGAAGUGCAUCGAGAGGGAGGCUCCUCCAUAUGGGGAGAAGCAGUGAAGCCCCGAAGAAGGAAGCCGUCACAUUCCUGGAGUCCUCAGCAGGCGGCCUGACAUCUGGUCCACACGCAGGGAAAAGAGGCCACAUCCUCACAUGGAGCUCUAUUUUUGCAUCUGAACUGCUGGUGCUUCACUUGUACAACUUGCCUCACACACAGGAAGGGGAAGGGAACUAAUAUUUACCAAGUGCCGGCUCCAUGCUCUGAGCUGCCUCACCUACAUGACUCUGCGAACACCCGUCCCCCACGUUUUGAGUCUGCAAGGAGCUCUCGGAAGCUCUGUGUUCAGAGAAAAACUGGUGCACACUGCAGACUGCCUGAUUCUCAGGAUUUCAGCGGUCAAGAAAGAAGGCCGAGGGUGACCGAUCCGGCCGACUUGCCUGACGGGCCUCCCGUGACUCCGGGUGCCCUGGGAGACCUCGGCGACCUCACCCGAGUAGGAGGGAGGUUCUUUUCCCCAACGUUCUCCUGAACUGAGGCCCAGGAGGCUGGACAGCAGCAGCAUGUGCGGGAGGGUCCCACACCUCCAGGGGUCGCCAGAAGCUUCACACUGCGUUUCCUGGCGUGGGCACACAGCGGGCAGGGGGCUUAGAAUGAACUCUGCUCAGAAACUGUUGAGGACGUCGCAGAUCCAGCCAAAACCCCAUCUAAUUCUUGACCUGCCACGGCGGGGGCAGGGGGCCAGAGGGCAGCUCCGGUCCCCAGCCCAUCCUCAGCACAGGGUCGGUCCCCAAAGCCCCCCUCCCUCCAACAGGGCCCUGUCUAUCUCAGGGAAACCAGUCACUGGCUGGUGAGGACACAGCACCCUUCCUCAAACCAACAAACCCUAUGCUCAAGGAAUUACAUCCUUCACGUGUCACUGGAGAGGGCUCUGCAUCUGCUAAGCAAAGAAAUAUAAGUUGGUGUUUUUCAAAAAAUUGGCAUUCCUCUCCAUUCCUCCCUUCCCCCAACCCAACAUGGGACUUCUUACUUGCCCAGUUAAAACUCCAAUUAAGUACCUGUUAGAUGAGUUUCACGACUCUCACAGGUGAUCUGGGAAUAUGGUACAGGCUGGAGUUGCUGACUUGCAACUUGGGCGUGGAAAGUCAGGGCUGAGUACCCACCUUUGUAAUCUCUCAUCCUUGGCUAUUCAACAGCCUAUCAGAAAACAGCCCAAAGAGCAGCUCACUGGAGCGCUGAGGUGAGCCCUGACCCUAGCACCGUCCAAAGAGGUCUGUACGCGCGGCCCCGACUCAGUGCUGCCCUGACGGAGCUCAUCACAUCCCCUGGACCUUCUGUACAGACUCGCCAUUUUGAACCAAAUUCUGCCAGCUUCGCCGAAGAUAUUGAAGUCAGCACAAGUGCUCCUGGAAAACCAAUUACGGUGAAAGUAAUGUCUUUGCGAUCUCAAUCAUUCAACAAAUGCUGACUGAGUCAGCACGCACACCAACCACGGUGCAAAGCAUGGGCUUUGGGGCCUGAGAGAAACGCCUAAUCCCUGUCGCUGAGACGCCCGCAAGCAGGGGUACAGAACAUGCUCUGGGGAACAUGGGGUUCAACACAUCUCCACCUGUUUUAUGCAAAACUCUCAUGGGAUUGAAGUACCCACGCUGGCAUGAGAAUAGGUCAAACUCAGGCCCAGCCACUUGAUCUACUGAUUUUCAAAGGAGUCCCAACACAGCCAAUUCUGAGGGUAGGUGCCCUGCCAUUCAAAGCAGUAAGAAAAGCACUGUGCCUGGCACCAGCUAAUUAUAUCACGAAGUCACAUUCCCUGAACCCUCCCCCAAACGAGGGCAGAGGGUAGCCGCCUCGGGGUGCCGUCUUGCUGGGUGGCAGAUGGCAGCAAGCCAAGAGCUUACACGUUCACCGUGGCCAAUGCAGAAAGCAGGUGACCCACACAACACACCUGCCAGACUGCAGAUCAGACCAUCCCCGUCGUCCACCAGAGCUUCUACCCAUCAAAAAGGAAAAAGAGACAAAAAAAGAAAACCAGAAAACCUGUCUGGCUUAUAAGGGGAAGGGGAACAAAGCGUCUGAACUUCAACCAUUUCUCAAUGCUUUCAGGAGAUCUCUUUGAAACUGCAGGGCAACUUUCAUCUCUCCAAUAACCUUGUCUGACCUCACCUGAAAUGACUAAUGUGAUUGCAACAGUUUCACUCUCUGAAGUAGCCCUCUUUCCACCCCCCACUGCGCUGAGGCCUCUACCAUCACCAUGAGAACUUGGCAUUAUUUUUAAAGCUAAUUACCUUCAGGUUUUGGAGACAGGUGGCAUGGCUUUCUGCCCCCUCCCUUCUGCUGAGUAAGGAGAAACUUCUCCAGAUGCCUGGCAGGAGAGCCUGCAUCCUGGUCCCUGAGAUUCUGGGCACCCUUCUUAUGGGGGGAGGGGUUCCCAUGGCAUCCUGUUCUAUGAAGCAGCAGCUGCCGUAUGCAUCUUGCGGAGGAAAAAGUUUCUUUAAAUCUUUAUUAGUUGCUGUUUGGCUAGAUGGGACUGAUAGCAAAAGCAACAUUCCAAGGUAGUCAA